rnacentral:rRNA from 1 species
CGUCUGGUGGAUGGCUCGGCUUGAACGCCGACGAAGGGCGCGACAAGCCGCGAUAGGCCCCGGGUAGGCGCAUGUAGCCGUCGAUCCGGGGAUCCCCGAAUGGGACCUCCCACCGUGAAAGCUUUUAGGCUUUCACGGUGCUCCCCAAUUGGGAGCGGGAACCCCCCGAACGGAAACAUCUUAGUAGGGGGAGGAAAAGAAACCAAAACGGGAUUCCCUGAGUAGCGGCGAGCGAAAGGGGAAGAGUCCAAACCGAACACCAUGAGGAUAACUCAUGGUGGAUGUGGUGUUGUGGACCCGGUCGCCUCCUCGCCAGCGAAGCCGAAGUGGCCUGGAACGGCCCGCCAUAGAGGGUGAAAGCCCCGUAGGCGUAAGCUGGAAGGAGAUGGACCGGGACUCCAGAGUACCGUACCCUGACUUGGGUGCGGGAAUCUGGGAGCCACCAACUUCCAAGACUAAAUACGUUUCAAGACCGAUAGCGCACUAGUACGGUGACGGAAAGCUGAAAAGCACCCCGGAAGGGGGGUGAAAAGAGCCUGAAACCAGACGGUUACAGACGUGUGCAGCCCGGAAGGGUAGAUCCCUCCCGAAGGAAACUGCGGCGACGCAGGAGUACGAGGGAGGGGGACCAGGGUUGCACGUUCCGUCUAGAAACACGGGCCGGGGAGUUCACGGCUGUGGCGAGCCUAAGGGCUGAAAGCCCGUAAGCGUAGGGAAACCGAAGUGCGCGCAGCCAUCCGAAAAGGAUGGCGAGGCGCUGGGUCUGAAAGGGCCCGGAGUCACGGCCGUGAAACUAGAAACCGGGCGAUCUAGCCCUGGGCAGGGCGAAGCCAAGCGAAAGCUUGGUGGAGGCCCGAAGGGGUGCUGACGUGCAAUUCGCUCCUCUGACCUGGGGCUAGGGGCUAAAGACCAAUCUAGCCCGGUGAUAGCUAGUUCCCCCCGAAGUGGGUCGCAGCCCAGCCCCGGGCGAGGUAGCCGGUGGGGUAGAGCACUGACUGGGAAGUAAGGGGCCGAAAGGCCUCGCUUCCCUAUCAAACUCCGAAUCCACCGGCGCCGUAGACCCCGGGAGACGGGUUCCGAGGGGUAAGCUCUCGGACCGAGAGGGGAACAACCCAGACCGGGGUUAAGGCCCCUAAGUGCUGGCUAAGUGUUAAACCGAAGGGCGUCAUCAGCCUUAGACAGCGGGGAGGUAGGCUUAGAAGCAGCCAUCCUUUAAAGAGUGCGUAACAGCUCACCCGCCGAGGUUGAUGGCCCCGAAAAUGGACGGGGCUAAGCCAGCCGCCGAGACCCCGGAGUGCAGCCUACGGCUGCAUCUGGUAGGGGGGCGUCCCGACUGGGCAGAAGCUGGGCCGUGAGGUCCAGUGGACCGGUCGGGAUUGAAGAUCCCGGUGGUAGUAACAGCAAAGAGGGGUGAGAAUCCCCUCCGCCGAAGGGGCAAGGGUUCCCCGGCAAUGCGUCGUCAGCCGGGGGUAAGCCGGUCCUAAGGCCGACCUUAACCGGGUAGGCCGAAAGGGAAACCGGUUAAGAUUCCGGUGCCGCGGAGGUACGCUUCGCGGCGACGCAAGGCCCGGCGCCUGACGCUUCGGGAUAGGCUGAGCGGGGCCGUCGCCCCGUUUAACCGUAUAAGCCUGGGGAGUGCCGUAAUGGCGAGAACCAGGCGAAAGCGGGAAUAGCCGCCCGUUUUAGGGCGGUUCAGCCGAUUCCUGGAGCCAGUGAAAAGGGCGCCGGGAAGGAUCCUCCGCGUCCGUACCCAGAACCGACACAGGUGCCCCUAGGCGAGAAACCUAAGGCGUGUCGGGUUACGCCAGGCGAGGGAACUCGGCAAAUUAGCCCCGUACCUUCGGUAGAAGGGGUGCCUGCGGUUUUGGCCUUGAGGCUGGAACCGCAGGUCGCAGUGGCAAGGGGGUCCCGACUGUUUAAUAAAAACAUAGGGAGCCGCAAGCCCGAAAGGGUGUGAACGGCUCCUGAAUCCUGGCCAGUACGGGUACCUGAAACCCGGGUUCAACCGGGCUAAGGGCCCGCAAACGCCGGGAGUAACUCUGACUCUCUCAAGGUAGCCAAAUGCCUUGUCGGGUAAGUUCCGACGUGCACGAAUGGAUCAACGAGGGCCCCGCUGUCCCCGCCUGGCACCCGGUGAACCCACCUCGUGGCCGAACAGUCCACGAACCCCCAGCGGGAAAAGAAGACCCCGUGGAGCUUUACUGCAGCCUGUCGCUGGGACACGGUUGCGGAUGCAGAGUGUAGGCGGGAGCCGUUGAUCUCAACCUCUCCGGGGGUUGAGGUAGGCGCCCAUGGAACACCGCCCUUCCGCAACUGUGUCUCUUACCGGCGCGAAAGCGCUGGGACAACGGCAGGUGGGCAGUUUGGCUGGGGCGGCACCCCCUUGAAAAGAUAUCGAGGGGGCCCAAAGGUCGGCUCAAGCGGGACAGAAACCCGCUGUAGAGUGUAAGGGCAAAAGCCGGCCUGACUGGAUCCUCCACAGUAAGGGAUCCAGAGGCGAAAGCCGGGCCUAACGAGCCGUCGUGUCCCUAUUGGUGGGGGCCGGCGGUGACAGAAAAGUUACCCCGGGGAUAACAGGCUCGUCGCGGGCGAGAGACCACAUCGACCCCGCGGCUUGGUACCUCGAUGUCGGCUCUUCCCAUCCUGGCCCUGCAUAAGGGGCCAAGGGUGAGGCUGCUCGCCUAUUAAAGGGGAACGUG